rnacentral:rRNA from 1 species
UACGAAGGGGGCUAGCGUUGCUCGGAAUCACUGGGCGUAAAGCGCACGUAGGCGGAUCGCUAAGUCAGGGGUGAAAUCCUGGAGCUCAACUCCAGAACUGCCUUUGAUACUGGCAAUCUCGAGUCCGGGAGAGGCGAGUGGAACUGCGAGUGUAGAGGUGAAAUUCGUAGAUAUUCGCAAGAACACCAGUGGCGAAGGCGGCUCACUGGCCCGAUACUGACGCUGAGGUGCGAAAGCGUGGGGAGCAAACAGG